rnacentral:rRNA from 1 species
UACAGAGGUCUCGAGCGUUAGGCGGAAUCACUGGGCUUAAAGCGUGUGUAGGCGGAUCGUUAAGUGCCUUGUGAAAUCCCACGGCUCAACCGUGGAACUGCUUGGCAUACUGGCGGUCUUGAGCAACCUAGGGGCGAGCGGAACAAAUGGUGGAGCGGUGAAAUGCGUAGAUAUCAUUUGGAACGCCAAUGGUGAAAACAGCUCGCUGGGGGUUUGCUGACGCUGAGGCACGAAAGCCAGGGGAGCAAACGGG